rnacentral:rRNA from 1 species
AUUGAACGCUGGCGGUAUGCCUUACACAUGCAAGUCGAACGGUAGAGGGGCAACCCUUGAGAGUGGCGAACGGGUGAGUAAUACAUCGGAACGUGCCCAGUCGUGGGGGAUAACGUAGCGAAAGCUACGCUAAUACCGCAUACGACCUGAGGGUGAAAGCGGGGGAUCGCAAGACCUCGCGCGAUUGGAGCGGCCGGAGGCAGUGUAGGUAGUUGGUGGGGUAAAGGCCUACCAAGCCUGCGAUCUGUAGCUGGUCUGAGAGGCCGACCAGCCACACUGGGACUGAGACACGGCCCAGACUCCUACGGGAGGCAGCAGUGGGGAAUUUUGGACAAUGGGCGAAAGCCUGAUCCAGCUAUACCGCGUGCGGGAAGAAGGCCUUCGGGUUGUAAACCGCUUUUGUCAGGGAAGAAAUCUUCUGGGCUAAUACCUCGGGAGGAUGACGGUACCUGAAGAAUAAGCACCGGCUAACUACGUGCCAGCAGCCGCCGUAAAAC